rnacentral:sRNA from 1 species
CACUUUAAAGCAACUUAACCUGAAAGUCGUUAGCUGGGUCAAGGGUGCCAACUGUCCUAGAGGUUCAAUUCAUGCUGUGAUGGAGAAGAAAAGAUUGGAGGGAUCGACUUGAAUGAAAUGAUAAGGUUGACUGCCAGGCUCAAACGCUCACACGCUCACCACACGCUUUCCUCAGAAUUCAGAGCAAAAAAAAAGAAAAACAAAAUUAUCAAAUCCAGCCGAAAAUUUUUCAAUUAGCGUGGUUGUGGGCAUUUAUCACCCCGGUGAGUGGCAUAAAAAGACGAUUAUUUCACUAGUAAUCCC